rnacentral:miRNA from 1 species
UAUCUGUCCUUGUGAGCCCCAGA